rnacentral:rRNA from 1 species
GAUGAACGCUGGCGGCGUGCUUAACACAUGCAAGUCGAACGAUGAAGCCCAGCUUGCUGGGUGGAUUAGUGGCGAACGGGUGAGUAACACGUGAGUAACCUGCCCUUGACUCUGGGAUAAGCCUGGGAAACUGGGUCUAAUACUGGAUAUGACUUCUCAUCGCAUGGUGGGGGGUGGAAAGAUUUAUUGGUCUUGGAUGGACUCGCGGCCUAUCAGCUUGUUGGUGAGGUAAUGGCUCACCAAGGCGACGACGGGUAGCCGGCCUGAGAGGGUGACCGGCCACACUGGGACUGAGACACGGCCCAGACUCCUACUGGAGGCAGCAGUGGGGAAUAUUGCACAAUGGGCGCAAGCCUGAUGCAGCGACGCCGCGUGAGGGAUGACGGCCUUCGGGUUGUAAACCUCUUUCAGUAGGGAAGAAGCGAGAGUGACGGUACCUGCAGAAGAAGCGCCGGCUAACUACGUG